rnacentral:rRNA from 1 species
UACGUAGGGGGCGAGCGUUGUUCGGAAUUACUGGGCGUAAAGCGUGCGCAGGCGGUUGUGCAAGACCGAUGUGAAAUCCCCGGGCUCAACCUGGGAAUGGCAUUUGGGACUGCAAGGCUGGAGUGCGGCAGAGGAGACUGGAAUUCCUGGUGUAGCAGUGAAAUGCGUAGAUAUCAGGAGGAAUACCGAUGGCGAAGGCAGGUCGUCUGGGCUGACACUGACGCUCAUGCACGAAAGCGUGGG